UACAGAGGGUGCGAGCGUUAAUCGGAAUUACUGGGCGUAAAGCGCGCGUAGGCGGUUUUGUAAGUCGGGUGUGAAAUCCCCAAGCUUAACUUGGGAACUGCAUUCGAGACUGCAUAGCUAGAGUAUGGGAGAGGGAAGUGGAAUUUCAGGUGUAGCGGUGAAAUGCGUAGAUAUCCGAAGGAACAUCAGUGGCGAAAGCGACUUCCUGGACCAAUACUGACGCUCAUGUGCGAAAGCGUGGGGAGCAAACAGG
rnacentral:rRNA from 1 species